CUUGGUCAUUUAGAGGAAGUAAAAGUCGUAACAAGGUUUCCGUAGGUGAACCUGCGGAAGGAUCAUUACCUAGAGUUGUAGGCUUUGCCUGCCAUCUCUUACCCAUGUCUUUUGAGUACCUUACGUUUCCUCGGCGGGUUCGCCCGCCGGCUGGACAAAACUUAAACCCUUUGUAGUUGCAAUCAGCGUCUGAAAAAACUUAAUAGUUACAACUUUCAACAACGGAUCUCUUGGUUCUGGCAUCGAUGAAGAACGCAGCGAAAUGCGAUAAGUAGUGUGAAUUGCAGAAUUCAGUGAAUCAUCGAAUCUUUGAACGCACAUUGCGCCCCUUGGUAUUCCAUGGGGCAUGCCUGUUCGAGCGUCAUUUGUACCUUCAAGCUCUGCUUGGUGUUGGGUGUUUGUCCCGCCUCUGCGCGUGGACUCGCCUUAAAGCAAUUGGCAGCCGGCGUAUAGAUUUCGGAGCGCAGCACAAAACGCGCUUUGUUAGCAAUACGGUGGCAUCCAUCAAGACUUUUUUUAACUCUUGACCUCGGAUCAGGUAGGGAUACCCGCUGAACUUAAGCAUAUCAAUAAGCGGAGGA
rnacentral:rRNA from 1 species